rnacentral:lncRNA from 1 species
UUAGGCACCAUUCUCCAAUCAGUCCUUUCCCGGCGCACACCACCAUCGCCAGGGCCAGGCAGGCGUCAGCUCGGUUCCCACCUCUCAACUCCCCAUUGCCAUGCUCGCCCAAAGCGCGAUGGCGCCGGAUUGCACGGGAGCAGGCGUAGACCUGAUGGAAGCCAGAGCGCUAACAAAAGGAGGA